rnacentral:piRNA from 1 species
UCUGGAACAUAGGUGCCAUAAGAAAUAUCAGU